AUUUUCGACGAAAACCUCUUCUUCAGGAUCUCUACUCCGUUUGCCACUCGGAGAUGCGACUGUGGAAGAUGAUGGAGAAGCAGUUACAGAUGCAGAUACAUGAACCGAUUCCGAUUCAGAUGUAGUUAACGAUGUUGCGUUUGUUUCCGAAGCAUCUUCUACUGUCAUUCUAGAAUUUUCGCACCAAAAUUUUUUAAUUUCAGAAACAGUUGAGGGAACGAUGCGUGCAAUUGAAGCGAGUACGAACAAAAUGGAUGCUUUGUAACCAACGAGCAGGGACGGCUCUGGAGAUGGGUGAAGAUGUGACAACUCGAGUUUCCAAGAUUCCUUAUUCGCAUUUAUUGCACGUUAACUGUUUAAUUGUUUACUUACACGACUUAUUGCUUUGUAAUUGUAUACGUUGGAUUAUAUGAACUAUAUGCUGAGAUGUUGAUUUGAUGUGUUA